GCAUGGUUGGUCCAGUGGCAGAAUUGCCGCCUGCCAGUCCUCCGGAGGAUGAAAAUCAGUUGGAAGGAAGCAGGUCGCGGCAGACCCGGGUUCGAUUCCCGGACCAUGCA